rnacentral:lncRNA from 1 species
ACAACAAACCCAGUGUAUUCCCACUUAGUGGGGUCUGGGGGGGUAAGAUGUACGCAGUCCAUACCUCUACCUCUGAUGAAGUAGAAAGGCUGUUUUCGAAAGACCCCCGGCUCAAGGCACAAGAUAUCACACAAACACAUAGUAAAGCACAGAAGCAGAUGACAUAACAUAAAUACGACACCCAUAAGGAAUAUAAAACAGAGGAAAGCAGAGGAAAGCACACAGAUUUGUAAUAAGCAUGGAACACUGAAUACGGAAUCAUAACGGGAAUAAAAAAUAAAAAAAACCCCCACCA